AUCUCUUGGUUCUGGCAUCGAUGAAGAACGCAGCGAAAUGCGAUAAGUAAUGUGAAUUGCAGAAUUCAGUGAAUCAUCGAAUCUUUGAACGCACAUUGCGCCCCCUGGCAUUCCGGGGGGUAUGCCUGUCCGAGCGUCAUU
rnacentral:rRNA from 1 species